UACGAAGGGUGCAAGCGUUAAUCGGAAUUAUUGGGCGUAAAGAGCUCGUAGGCGGUCUGUCGCGUCGGAUGUGAAAAUCCAGGGCUCAACCCUGGACCUGCAUUCGAUACGGGCAGACUAGAGUUCGGCAGGGGAGACUGGAAUUCCUGGUGUAGCGGUGAAAUGCGCAGAUAUCAGGAGGAACACCGGUGGCGAAGGCGGGUCUCUGGGCCGAUACUGACGCUGAGGAGCGAAAGCGUGGGGAGCGAACAGG
rnacentral:rRNA from 1 species